AUUGAACGCUGGCGGAAUGCUUUACACAUGCAAGUCGAACGGCAGCACGGGGGCAACCCUGGUGGCGAGUGGCGAACGGGUGAGUAAUACAUCGGAACGUGCCCGGUCGUGGGGGAUAACGUAGCGAAAGUUACGCUAAUACCGCAUACGAUCUGAGGAUGAAAGCGGGGGACCUUCGGGCCUCGCGCGAUCGGAGCGGCCGAUGUCAGAUUAGGUAGUUGGUGGGGUAAAGGCCUACCAAGCCGACGAUCUGUAGCUGGUCUGAGAGGACGACCAGCCACACUGGGACUGAGACACGGCCCAGACUCCUACGGGAUGCAGCAGUGGGGAAUUUUGGACAAUGGGCGCAAGCCUGAUCCAGCCAUUCCGCGUGCAGGACGAAGGCCUUCGGGUUGUAAACUGCUUUUGUAUGGAACGAAAAGGCUCUGGCUAAUACCUGGGGCUCAUGACGGUACCGUAAGAAUAAGCACCGGCUAACUACGUG
rnacentral:rRNA from 1 species